rnacentral:lncRNA from 1 species
AUUCAUAUCUAUACAAAAUCUUUGUGAGGUCUUAUAAUGUUUUUGUAUCAAUGCUCCGUAUUAGACUGUAUCAUGAAGUUGUGAAAAAUUGACAGAAAUAUGCGGAGCAAAAGACUGUUUGCUUGCAUCAUACAUUUUUGUUCAGCAGGUCAUAAAACACUGAUAACUUGUACAAAAAUUCUGUACAAAUUAUAAUUUGUACAACAUUACAACUUGUACACAACAUAUAUAUAAAACUU